rnacentral:rRNA from 1 species
AUGAACGCUAGCUACAGGCUUAACACAUGCAAGUCGAGGGGCAGCAUUUCAGUUUGCUUGCAAACUGGAGAUGGCGACCGGCGCACGGGUGAGUAACACGUAUCCAACCUGCCGAUAACUCGGGGAUAGCCUUUCGAAAGAAAGAUUAAUACCCGAUGGUAUAAUCAGACCGCAUGGUCUUGUUAUUAAAGAAUUUCGGUUAUCGAUGGGGAUGCGUUCCAUUAGGCAGUUGGUGAGGUAACGGCUCACCAAACCUUCGAUGGAUAGGGGUUCUGAGAGGAAGGUCCCCCACAUUGGAACUGAGACACGGUCCAAACUCCUACGGGAGGCAGCAGUGAGGAAUAUUGGUCAAUGGGCGCAGGCCUGAACCAGCCAAGUAGCGUGAAGGAUGACUGCCCUAUGGGUUGUAAACUUCUUUUAUAUGGGAAUAAAGUUUUCCACGUGUGGAAUUUUGUAUGUACCAUAUGAAUAAGGAUCGGCUAACUCCGUGCCAGCAGCCGCGGUAAUACGGAGGAUCCGAGCGUUAUCCGGAUUUAUUGGGUUUAAAGGGAGCGUAGGUGGACAGUUAAGUCAGUUGUGAAAGUUUGCGGCUCAACCGUAAAAUUGCAGUUGAUACUGGCUGUCUUGAGUACAGUAGAGGUGGGCGGAAUUCGUGGUGUAGCGGUGAAAUGCUUAGAUAUCACGAAGAACUCCGAUUGCGAAGGCAGCUCACUGGACUGCAACUGACACUGAUGCUCGAAAGUGUGGGUAUCAAACAGGAUUAGAUACCCUGGUAGUCCACACAGUGAACGAUGAAUACUCGCUGUUUGCGAUAUACAGUAAGCGGCCAAGCGAAAGCAUUAAGUAUUCCACCUGGGGAGUACGCCGGCAAUGGUGAAACUCAAAGGAAUUGACGGGGGCCCGCACAAGCGGAGGAACAUGUGGUUUAAUUCGAUGAUACGCGAGGAACCUUACCCGGGCUUAAAUUGCAUUUGAAUAUAUUGGAAACAGUAUAGCCGUAAGGCAAAUGUGAAGGGGCUGCAUGGUUGUCGUCAGCUCGUGCCGUGAGGUGUCGGCUUAAGUGCCAUAACGAGCGCAACCCUUAUCUUUAGUUACUAACAGGUCAUGCUGAGGACUCUAGAGAGACUGCCGUCGUAAGAUGUGAGGAAGGUGGGGAUGACGUCAAAUCAGCACGGCCCUUACGUCCGGGGCUACACACGUGUUACAAUGGGGGGUACAGAAGGCAGCUACCUGGUGACAGGAUGCUAAUCCCAAAAGCCUCUCUCAGUUCGGAUCGAAGUCUGCAACCCGACUUCGUGAAGCUGGAUUCGCUAGUAAUCGCGCAUCAGCCAUGGCGCGGUGAAUACGUUCCCGGGCCUUGUACACACCGCCCGUCAAGCCAUGAAAGCCGGGGGUACCUGAAGUACGUAACCGCAAGGAGCGUCCUAGGGUAAAACUGGUAAUUGGGGCU